GUCGCAACGCGCGCAAAGGUGUGGGUGCUCCUUCGGGAGUGCUUAAGGUACGUGCUAAUCCCUCGGGCCAACCGAGCGUCCGUGUCAAGACCCGACAGUCGAAACACGGAUGGGCGAGAGCAUUGACGCUCUCGCUGGUAUGAGAAAUGCUGUGAUGCCCUUAGAUGUUCUGGGCCGCACGCGCGCUACACUGACAGAGCCAGCGAGUUCUUUUCCUUGGCCGGAAGGCCUGGGUAAUCUUGUGAAACUCU
rnacentral:rRNA from 1 species